CUGAUUGGACCAAGGUGGACAGCUGACCCAGGAGACACAUUCCAUUGGCUGAAUCUAGCCAAUCAGAUUAACUUUCCUGCGAAUUUGAAAUUGGGCUUUUGGGACAGAGGGGAGCUAGUGCUGGACCCUCGAGGUCACGUGGACUUGGGGCUGAGGCCUCUAGGGAGAGGCAGCUCUUUAGGACCUUCAGUACUGAGGGGUAAACAGAGACUGCAGGUUUGCAGAGAAAGCUGUAGAAUGAAAGUGAAGAGAAAAGCAAAACGAGAGAUCCCGUGGUCCCGAGAGAGAGUCCCACACAGGAGGGGGUGGACGUGUCCAGUGCAGUUCCUGCCUUAUGAUAAAUCACCUUUGGCUAAUGUCUCCAGGAUGCUUCCAUGACCCUACUUCCUAACUCCAAGCAAGGCUGGGGCUUCUGGUUUCUCUGCUGCACUGUCUUCUAGGCCCUGCUGCUGUCCUUCCUAAUACUGACCCUAACGACAAUACAUAUUUAUCUGUGUGAUUAUUUGUGAGAAGUCUUGUUCAUCCAAUGCACACAUGCUACUCACAGUGCUGGCCUAUGACAAGAUCAGGAGUUUGUAUGAGAAUGUCGAUCAUCAUAAUACUUCCUUCACUGGGGAAGUCUUGCAAUGGAGGACAUGUUGGCUGAACUGAACAGUGUGCACAAUGAAGUAAGUGGAGGUGCGUUCGAGUACAAGGUACGGUUGGUGGAAUGGUUGGCUGGAGGCUUCAGGCUGUGCUUUGGAGAGCACUGAGCUAGACCAUGACAUGGUGUAGCAGUUGUUAACAGUAAAGCCACUGGAACUAUACCACCUGGAUUCCAGCUUUGCUAUUUACUGUGUGAUUUUGGAAAGUCAACUUAGCUUCCCUGUGCCUCAGUUUGCUCUCUGUAAAAUGGGCAUAAUAGUAUCGCCUUCCUACUAGGUUUGUUUUGGGAGUUUCAAAUGACUUGUUAGGUGUGAAGUGCUUAGAUCAGUUCUCUGCAGAUGGCAAAUGCUUUGCACAUGUUGGCCGUUACUGUCAAAAGCUCUGUAAGAGCAGGAACGGCAUCCGCUGGUGUGCCUGACAAGUCAUAGAUGCUCAGUUAGUGUGUG
rnacentral:lncRNA from 1 species